rnacentral:lncRNA from 1 species
CCGCAUCGAGCUGCCGCGGCGGGGACGGGGAGUCGGCGUCGAGCGGCGGCGGCCGCAACGGGCGUCCGAGGCGGGGACGGGAACAUGCGGCGGCGGCGGCCUGCGUUUCACACAUCGAUCAUCCCUUCUGGAUCUUCGGCUGCUUUUCCCGUUAUUAAUCAAGCUAAUGGUUGUACUGUUGGAGUGUUGGUCGAUCGGAAAGGGGAGCCGCUUCACCGGGCGAGGCGGCGAUAGCUCCGCAGCGGCGGUGGCUGCGACGGCGUUUGCUUCGAAUCGGCGACCCUCGCUUGCUCCGCCGGUAGCUCCCCGCGUCUCCUACAGACGUAGCCUGAGGAGGGGAUUCCAGGCUGGGGGCUGAGGAAGCACCAGGGCUGGCGGUGGAGACGACGGACAUGGAGCGAUGGCCGGUGGGCAGCUGCUUGACUGACGACAACCGAAGGGGUAGGCUAGGUAUGCCUUCUACCAUCCUUCCAUUGCACUAGUUACUCAUCUCUUUGUGUAGCACAUCCAUCUUCAUCCUGUUUGUUUUCCUUGUUAUUAUUGCCACAUGGUUUCCCAUUUCAAUACUGUUUUGUGAUGAUAACUUGAAUUUCGUGAUAGAAUGGAAAUCGCAUAACAGAACAACAAAUAUUUAAUUCCACAAACUUUGCAGAAAAACUAGAGAAAACCAGAAGACACAACAUCGUUUUAUGAUUGUUUGGAACUUAUUACAACUUAGGUGUAUACUGCCAAUUCAGGACACCUUCUUAUUCCAAGGUUGAGCUAGUAAAUUAGAAAAAACAAAUGACAAAGGAAGUCAACAUAUGCAUGCCAACUGCCCAAAAGCGAUCCCAUUAUUAUCCAAAUCAUCAAACCUUCUCCAAGCAUAUGCAACAGUAACUUAUCAAUCAUUUCAUCUCACCUUCCCGAAGGAUAUCUUAAUUCUGUGGUCCCACUUGAGUUGCCCUCAAUGCUUUCUAUUGAAACUCCAGAAAUCAGCAGCUGGAAUUGCCUCGCUAUGUCAGCGUCCAUGGCUUCCUUCUGUUUAUAGGACCUAGACACCAGUUGCAUUUCACCUGUACCUGCCGGUAGGCAUUCUUUGAGCUUGAUAACAAUGUCAGUCAUGCUUGGCCUAUCAGUGGAUGUGUUUUCCACACAGCUCAUGGCAAGAUCUAUGACACUCUGUAUGGAAGUGGCAUCAUACUGAUGCCUUAGUCUACUGUCUACAGCAUCAUGAAUGCUCCCUUCAGCAAUCUUUUGGCGCACCCAGUUUGGUAGGUGCACUGGUUCUGAGUCCACUAACACUGAAGGUUGGCCAGUAAUGAUCUCCAAGAGGACAAUGCCGAAGCUGUAGACAUCUGCUUUCACAGUGAGGUGGAAAGUAGCAUGGUACCUGAGAAUGAGAUGUAAGAACAGCACAAAAUACGCUUCUCUUUAAUCUGCAUUUCUCGCUUGACUCGAACUAGAGAAGAAGUGUAUUGAACUAAUAUCGGUCAGUGAAGGAUAACUCACUCAGGGUCAAGGUAGCCAACAGUACCGGCAGCAACAGUUGAUAUGUGUGUGUGCGCUGGAGUGUAAGAUCGUGAAAGACCAAAGUCAGAUAUCAUGGCCACAAGAUUCUUAUCCAGGAGAAUGUUUGCAGUUUUCACAUCUCUGUGAACUAUUGGCGGGGUGCAUGAUUCAUGCAGAUACUCCAGUCCUGCAGCUCAUCAAGGUUCAUAUGUUUGUCAACAUCUACUCUGUUUAGUUUUUAAAAGAGGUACAAGAUUGAAGUGGACCUUGUGCUGCAUCAAGUGCAAUGUGAAGUCGCUCUUCCCAGCUCAAACUGUAUUCUUGUCCUGUUUCAAAGUGCAACAAAUUGACACUCAUUAGUAAUAUUGGGCAUGUUACAUGUAUGGGCAAUAUACAUGGUUGUUAAGGCAUCACUAUGGUGUCGCUGUUGCGUCGCCAUAGGUUGCAGAGAUCAAGGCGUUUACUCCUUGCGUAUAAGUACUAUCUUUAGAAUUUUGAGUCAUGUAGGGUGAGCAACAUUAAAUUUAUUGUAAUUAAUGCAAACCUCCUCUUAAAACUUCUUGUAGGUUUCCUCUAGCCAUGAAAUCGUACACAAGGGCAAGGCAUUUCUUGUUGUGGCAAUAUCCUAAAAACGUGACG